GUGCCAGCAGCCGCGGUAAUACGUAGGGCGCAAGCGUUGUCCGGAAUUAUUGGGCGUAAAGAGCUCGUAGGUGGCUUGUCGCGUCUGCCGUGAAAACCCGAGGCUCAACCUCGGGCGUGCGGUGGGUACGGGCAGGCUAGAGUGUGGUAGGGGAGACUGGAACUCCUGGUGUAGCGGUGAAAUGCGCAGAUAUCAGGAAGAACACCGAUGGCGAAGGCAGGUCUCUGGGCCAUUACUGACACUGAGGAGCGAAAGCAUGGGUAGCGAACAGGAUUAGAUACCCUGGUAGUCCAUGCCGUAAACGUUGGGCACUAGAUGUGGGGGACAUUCCACGUUUUCCGCGUCGUAGCUAACGCAUUAAGUGCCCCGCCUGGGGAGUACGGCCGCAAGGCUAAAACUCAAAGGAAUUGACGGGGGCCCGCACAAGCGGCGGAGCAUGCUGAUUAAUUCGAUGCAACGCGAAGAACCUUACCAAGGCUUGACAUGCACCGGGCGACUGCAGAGAUGUGGUUUUCUUCGGACUGGUGCACAGGUGGUGCAUGGUUGUCGUCAGCUCGUGUCGUGAGAUGUUGGGUUAGGUCCCGCAACGAGCGCAACCCUCGUUCUAUGUUGCCAGCACGUCAUGGUGGGGACUCAUAGGAGACUGCCGGGGUCAACUCGGAGGAAGGUGGGGACGACGUCAAAUCAUCAUGCCCCUUAUGUCUUGGGCUUCAAGCAUGCUACAAUGGUCGGUACAAUGGGUUGCGAAGCUGUGAGGUGGAGCGAAUCCCAAAAAGCCGGCCUCAGUUCGGAUUGGGGUCUGCAACUCGACCCCAUGAAGUCGGAGUCGCUAGUAAUCGCAGAUCAGCAACGCUGCGGUGAAUACGUUCCCGGGCCUUGUACACACCGCCCGUC
rnacentral:rRNA from 1 species